AUUGAACGCUGGCGGCAGGCCUAACACAUGCAAGUCGAGCGGAUGACGGGAGCUUGCUCCUUGAUUCAGCGGCGGACGGGUGAGUAAUGCCUAGGAAUCUGCCUGGUAGUGGGGGACGACGUUUCGAAAGGAACGCUAAUAGCGCAUACGUCCUACGGGAGAAAGCAGGGGACCAUCGGGCCUUGCGCUAGAAGGUGAGCGUAGGUCCGAUGAGAUAGUUGGGGAGGUAAUGGCUCACCAAGGCGACGAGCCGUAAAUGGUCUGAGAGGAUGAUCAGUCACACUGGAACUAAGACACGGUCCAGACUCCUACGGGAGGCAGCAGUGGGGAAUAUUGGGCAGUGGGCGAAAGCCUGAUCCAGCCAUGCCGCGUGUGUGAAGAAGGUCUUCGGAUUGUAAAGCACUUUAAGUUGGGAGGAAGGGCAGUAAGCUAAUACCUUGCUGUUUUGACGUUACCGACAGAAUAAGCACCGGCUAACUCUGUGCCAGCCGCCGCCGUAAGAC
rnacentral:rRNA from 1 species